GAUGAACGCUGGCGGCGUGCUUAACACAUGCAAGUCGAACGAAGCACUUAAGAUUGAUUCUUCGGAUGACGUCUUUUGUGACUUAGUGGCGGACGGGUGAGUAACGCGUGGGUAACCUGCCUCACACAGGGGGAUAACAGUUAGAAAUGACUGCUAAUACCGCAUAACCCGAUAGGAUCGCAUGAUCCAGACGGAAAAGAUUUAUCGGUGUGAGAUGGACCCGCGUCUGAUUAGCUAGUUGGUGAGGUAACGGCCCACCAAGGCGACGAUCAGUAGCCGGCCUGAGAGGGUGAACGGCCACAUUGGGACUGAGACACGGCCCAAACUCCUACGGGAGGCAGCAGUGGGGAAUAUUGCACAAUGGGGAAACCCUGAUGCAGCGACGCCGCGUGAGUGAAGAAGUAUUUCGGUAUGUAAAGCUCUAUCAGCAGGGAAGAAAAUGACGGUACCUGACUAAGAAGCCCCGGCUAACUACGUG
rnacentral:rRNA from 1 species